AAUACAUGCAAGUCGAACGAGAAAGUACCUUCGGGUAUGAGUACAGUGGCGGACGGGUGAGUAACGCGUAGGAAUCUACCUUCAGGUGGGGGACAACUCGGGGAAACUCGAGCUAAUACCGCAUAAUACCUAAGGGUCAAAGUGGGGGAUCUUCGGACCUCACGCCAGAAGAGGAGCCUGCGUUAGAUUAGCUAGUUGGUGGGGUGAAGGCCUACCAAGGCGACGAUCUAUAGCUGGUCUGAGAGGACGAUCAGCCACACUGGAACUGAGACACGGUCCAGACUCCUACGGGAGGCAGCAGUAGGGAAUCUUAGGCAAUGGGCGAAAGCCUGACCUAGCGAUGCCGCGUGUGCGAAGAAGGCCUUAGGGUUGUAAAGCACUUUCAGUCGUGAAGAAAAACUCAGAGUUAAUAGCUAUGAGUCUUGACGUUAACGACAGAAGAAGAUCCGGCUAACUCCGUGCCAGCAGCCGCGGUAAUACGGAGGGAUCGAACGUUAAUCGGAAUUACUGGGCGUAAAGCGCGCGUAGGCGGUCUGAUAAGUGGGAUGUGAAAGCCCCGGGCUUAACCCGGGAACUGCAUUCCAAACUGUCAGACUAGAGUAUGGUAGAGGGUGGUAGAAUUUCCUGUGUAGCGGUGAAAUGCGUAGAUAUAGGAAGGAAUACCGAUGGCGAAGGCAGCCACCUGGACCAAUACUGACGCUGAGG
rnacentral:rRNA from 1 species